rnacentral:rRNA from 1 species
UACGUAGGGUGCGAGCGUUGUCCGGAAUUAUUGGGCGUAAAGAGCUCGUAGGCGGUGUGUCACGUCGGCCGUGAAAACCUGCAGCUUAACUGUGGGCGUGCGGUCGAUACGGGCAUCACUGGAGUUCGGCAGGGGAGACUGGAAUUCCUGGUGUAGCGGUGAAAUGCACAGAUAUCAGGAGGAACACCGAUGGCGAAGGCAGCUUACUGGGCCGAUACUGACGCUGAGGAGCGAAAGCGUGGGGAGCGAACAGG